rnacentral:rRNA from 1 species
UACGUAGGCAGCAAGCGUUGUUCGGAGUUACUGGGCGUAAAGGGUGUGUAGGCGGUUGUUUAAGUUUGGUGUGAAAUCUCCCGGCUCAACUGGGAGGGUGCGCCGAAUACUGAAUGACUCGAGUGCGGGAGAGGAAAGUGGAAUUCCUGGUGUAGCGGUGAAAUGCGUAGAGAUCGGGAGGAAGGCCGGUGGCGAAGGCGGCGCACUGGAACGUUUCUGACGCUGAGGCUCGAAAGCGUGGGGAGCAAACGGG